rnacentral:rRNA from 1 species
GACGAACGCUGGCGGCGUGCUUAACACAUGCAAGUCGAACGGAAAGGUCCCUUUGGGGGUCCUCGAGUGGCGAACGGGUGCGUAACACUUGCGUAACCUGCCCUUGCCUUCGGGAUAACUUCAGGACACUGGGGCUAAUACCGGUUAGGAAUCCUUUUUGCAUCGUCGUGGUUGUAAAGCUUCGGCGGUUUUGGGUGUCCUUGCGGCUUAUCAGCUUGUUGUUGUGGUUGUUGCUUACCAAGGCUUCUACGGGUAGCCGGCCUGAGUGGGCGACCCGCCACAUUGGGACUGAGGUACGGCCCAGACACCUACGGGAGGCAGCAGUGGGGAAUAUUGAACAAGGGGCGGAAGCCUGAUGCAGCAACGCCGCGUGCGGGAUGACGGCCUUCGGGUUGUAAACCGCUUUCAGAAGGGGCGAAGCAUGCGGUGACGGUACCUGCAGAAGAAGCACCGGCUAACUACGUG